GGUUAUUUAAAGUGAAUACAGUACGUUGCUCCCUGGCUUGCUGGGUUCAAACCGCUCAGCAGACUUCCUCGUGGGAGGAGGAAAGAGGUGUCACAACCAUGAAAACAUGAAACCACGAAGCACUGUGCCCAGCUGUGGCCACUGGCUCCCAGGAUGACCUGUCCCCCCCUGCCCGGUGCUCAGGCCACAGGGUGGGCAGAGCCAUGGGUGUGUGAGGCAGGGGAAACUGAAUUCUCUCUCCUUGGGCAUUGACCCUUUCUUAUUAAAAAUCUUGAAAGAAUGUGAGCUAUUUUAGAAGCUCUAGUACUGCGGAGUUCAUUUUACUUGUGAGAAGAACUGUAGCAACAACUGUUCAAAGAUGAAGUGUGCACUAGGUUGCUGUUUGUGACAACCUCCUGAUUGCACCUUCUAGUGCAGUGCGUACCCUAGCCGUUCGUUGCGUAUGCCAAUACAGGACAAAAAGGAUAAACUAGAGACAUCAUCCCUAAUCCAACACUAGCUAAAGCAGCUUUUUUAUUUGAGUCUGCAUCUUGGAACAAUGAACCUAAAAUUGGUGCAGUUUGAUUCUUACAUCGUGCGUCAGGGCACCAUAGGAAGGGUCAAUCAGAGGUACCUAGAAAUACGAAACCAGAAUAAAACUUGUUAAGUUUAGUAAUUAUAUGAUGAAUGUAUUGUAUCUCAUCUCUGACGACAUUUCUUAUAAUUCUCCUGAUUUCCAGACUACUUUUUUGCUUUGUGGGCUGUUUCAGGGCAAGAUAAUCAGCCCAUCCAUGUGGAUUUACCAAAGAUACUUUGAGAGGAAAUCUUAACUCCAUGCCAGUCUACAGAUGUUUUUGGUUCCCAGAUGUUUGAUUAAGAAAAGAGAGAGACCAAAGUCUCAUCUGUUAAAGUAUCUAGGAAUGCAUUCUAGUUUCUAACUCAUUAGAAAUCAAGCAAAGUAGAGCAAGCAAGAUGAAGACAGACUGAUAAACUACUGUUGGAAAGAAGAAAGAGAAGCAUGCACUCCAGUCUAGCUCAACUAAAAUUUGCCUCAGUUCCAGUGACUAUGUACCACCAACAUGCAGCAAUUGAGAUCAAACUGCAGUCAGUGAACAUGACAAUGGAACUAAGCCGGGAAACUCUGAGCUGUGGAGGAAAGGCUGCUCUGACAAAAAAUCAGAAUCAAAAGCAAAUUUUCAAAUCCAUCUUUUGUGCUAUGGCAAUAUUAAACUGCAAUUUAUAAAUGAAGAUCAGAUUUAUUUCCACUUAAGCUGGCAAGACCAGUGAAGGUACUUUGGUUGCCAAUGCAGUCUGCGAUGGCUAGCAAGUAAGCCAAAACUGGCAGGAGAAGUAAGAUUAUCCUUAGUUAUGUAAGUAAAAAAAAAUUUGUAUUUAAUAAUAAGCUAUUACUACUGAUUGGCAACUUCAAUAAAAUAGAUAAAUACAGCA
rnacentral:lncRNA from 1 species